rnacentral:rRNA from 2 species
AUAACUCCGGGAAACCGGGGCUAAUACCGGAUAACAUUUUGAACUGCAUGGUUCGAAAUUGAAAGGCGGCUUCGGCUGUCACUUAUGGAUGGACCCGCGUCGCAUUAGCUAGUUGGUGAGGUAACGGCUCACCAAGGCAACGAUGCGUAGCCGACCUGAGAGGGUGAUCGGCCACACUGGGACUGAGACACGGCCCAGACUCCUACGGGAGGCAGCAGUAGGGAAUCUUCCGCAAUGGACGAAAGUCUGACGGAGCAACGCCGCGUGAGUGAUGAAGGCUUUCGGGUCGUAAAACUCUGUUGUUAGGGAAGAACAAGUGCUAGUUGAAUAAGCUGGCACCUUGACGGUACCUAACCAGAAAGCCACGGCUAACUACGUGCCAGCAGCCGCGGUAAUACGUAGGUGGCAAGCGUUAUCCGGAAUUAUUGGGCGUAAAGCGCGCGCAGGUGGUUUCUUAAGUCUGAUGUGAAAGCCCACGGCUCAACCGUGGAGGGUCAUUGGAAACUGGGAGACUUGAGUGCAGAAGAGGAAAGUGGAAUUCCAUGUGUAGCGGUGAAAUGCGUAGAGAUAUGGAGGAACACCAGU